CUACGGGUCGCUCCAGUAGGGAAUAUUGGGCAAUGGGCGCAAGCCUGACCCAGCAACGCCGCGUGCGCGAAGAAGGCCUUCGGGUCGUAAAGCGCUUUUCUGAGGGAUGAGAAAGGACAGUACCUCAGGAAUAAGCCUCGGCUAACUACGUGCCAGCAGCCGCGGUAAAACGUAGGAGGCGAGCGUUAUCCGGAUUUACUGGGCGUAAAGCGUGUGCAGGCGGUCUGGCAAGUUGGAUGUGAAAGCUCCCGGCUCAACUGGGAGAGGUCGUUCAAAACUACCGGACUAGAGUGUAUCAGAGGGAGAUGGAAUUCCCGGUGUAGUGGUGAAAUGCGUAGAUAUCGGGAGGAACACCAGUGGCGAAAGCGAUCUUCUGGGAUACUACUGACGCUCAGACACGAAAGCUAAGGUAGCGAACGGGAUUAGAUACCCUGGUAGUC
rnacentral:rRNA from 1 species